UAUUUGGUUUUGCUCUGUAUUGACAAUCACUGCACUGUGUUUUAACACAGUCUCUUAAACUUUAUUUCCUAUUUUCUUUGUUCAAAGAAGCCUGGGUAUAAUCAGAAAUCUGUGCUGAUUUGUAAUUGUGCAUUAACUUUAGACUCUUCUUUUAGGCCAUUUGGACACUACAUGCCUACAUCAAAACUUUGACUGGGUUUACUUAUAUAAUGUCCUGUUUUAAAGUAUGACUUGAAAACUGCUGCUUUCUGGGUUACACUGAUACAACUGGAUGCAUUGCCACAAUGUACUGCAGAUGUGCCUUUUGACAUCAGAGGACGCAUGUCCCCAGGGGGGCUUUGGCACAAACCUGUCAUGUUUGCACCGAGCGGAGACGGCACUGACAAGGCAUUUACAGCUGAAAGUAAGAAUAUUUUUUCCUGCAGAGCAGUUUAAAAGGCAAAAUAAAAUUGUGCAGUUUUCAAAACAAAGCACGUUAUGUUGACCGGUGCCAAAGAAUUCAGAAGGCUUAUAUGAAAAGGGAAGGGAAAUCCAUAUUUUUCUUUCUGAGGCAAAGCAUGUUUUUUAUUUCCGGUUCUAUUCUACAAUAACUGCAAAGACUUUGAAAGUCUUCUG
rnacentral:lncRNA from 1 species